AUGACCAUAUCACAUUGAAACAGUAGUUCCUGUAUGAUCACCAAAGUUAAGCAAUGUUGAGACUGGUCAGUACCUAGAUUGGUGACCACUUGGGAAUACCAGGUGUUGUGA
rnacentral:rRNA from 1 species